rnacentral:rRNA from 1 species
ACACGGGGGGGGCGAGCGUUAUUCGGAAUUACUGGGCGUAAAGGGCGCGUAGGCGGUCCGUUAAGUGUGAAGCGAAAUGCCUGGGCUCAACUUGGGAAGUGCUUUGCAUACUGGUGGACUUGAGUCCAAGAGGGGGUGGUGGAAUUCCUGGUGUAGGGGUGAAAUCCGUAGAUAUCCGGAGGAGCACCGUUGGCGAAGGCGGCCACCUGGAUUGGUACUGACGCUGAGGCGCGAAAGCGUGGGGAGCGAACAGGAUUAGAAACCCGGGUAGUCC